rnacentral:snRNA from 1 species
AUACGUUUCUCGGCCUUUUGGCUAAGAUCAAGUGUGAUAUUUGUUCUUAUUAGUUUAAUAUUUGAUAUGUUGGUCAUCGCCCCACUUGAGCAUCCACCGACAUCACUU